AGUGAACGCUGGCGGUAGGCCUAACACAUGCAAGUCGAACGGCAGCACAGUAAGAGCUUGCUCUUACGGGUGGCGAGUGGCGGACGGGUGAGGAAUACAUCGGAAUCUACUUUUUCGUGGGGGAUAACGUAGGGAAACUUACGCUAAUACCGCAUACGACCUACGGGUGAAAGCAGGGGAUCUUCGGACCUUGCGCGAUUGAAUGGGCCGAUGUCGGAUUAGCUGGUUGGCGGGGUAAAGGCCCACCAAGGCGACGAUCCGUAGCUGGUCUGAGAGGAUGAUCAGCCACACUGGAACUGAGUCACGGUCCAGACUCCUACGGGAGGCAGCAGUGGGGAAUAUUGGACAAUGGGUGCAAGCCUGAUCCAGCCAUACCGCGUGGGUGAAGAAGGCCUUCGGGUUGUAAAGCCCUUUUGUUGGGAAAGAAAAGCAGCAGGUUAAUACCCCGCUGUUCUGACGGUACCCAAAGAAUAAGCACCGGCUAACUUCGUG
rnacentral:rRNA from 1 species